ensembl:snRNA U6 U6 spliceosomal RNA
GUGCUCGCUUUGGCAGCACAUAUACUAAAACUGGAACGAUACAGAGAAGAUUAGCAUGGCCCCUGCGCAAGAAUGACACACAAAUUCAUGAAGCGUUCCAUAUUUUU